UGGGAGUGGUGAAGCCCUGGAUGGCAGCUUAUUUCCCCUCACAAAACUUAGUCCUGCUAUCCCUUUCCUCUGUGCUUUGGAGGUGGUUGGUGGGGUAGUUGUACAGAUCUCUGUUUGGCACAUUGCAGCUCCACUGGGGGGAUCUGUCCUCUGCUACCCAGCCUGGCCGUGUCCUCCUGCAGCUGAAGUCAGCCAAAGGAUGCUGCAGGACAAGGCUCACAUGGCCUCGUGUGGAGUCAGCGUGGUCCCAUCACCUGUGGAUGGAGCUGGCUGCUGCCACCACUGAUGGGAAGAUUGGGGUCUGACAGCCAGGAGCUGGAGCAGACACAAUAGCUGUCUGGAUGGUUAAGUGGAUGCACUGAUGAUGCCACUGUGUUAACCAUGUGUUAAAGCAGAAGACUGCAUCUUGCCUGUAUCAGCACAAGUGAUUGGAUUUGAAAGACUAUCCAGGACCUUGUAUGAGCACAGCUGCAGGUGAAUCUGCAUUGGUGAUCCAAGGUGCAUGAGGCAGCAGCAGAACUGACAUUUGGCAUCCUCAGCAGGCUGCUGUUCACCACAGGGAGAGAGAGCCGUGGUGUCUGGCACGCAGGGAGGAUCACCAGUUCUUGUCAAACUCAUUCUCCUGGAUUACCACAAAGGUGAAGAGCUCAGCAGAAGAGGUGUACUUCCAUUCCUUCCCUGCAGAGCAUCUUAUGGGCAGCCUGACUGCAAUGUUGUUGUGCAGCUCAGCCAGGAGAUGGGCUGGAUCUUUUGCCUCUGACAGUCCUGGGGACUCUGCUGUUGCUGUGGAUUUUUUCACCACCAAUUACCUGCCUGCUAUUCACACUAAAACACCAGGAGACAGUGCUAGGGAAGGCCAGGUCUGGCCCUAGCCCAUUUCUUAGAAGUUGUUCACCUUUUGUAAGCCAGUGCUGUCAGCAGUGUGUUAGAGAAUGAAAUCUGAGCUGCUCUGAAACCCAUGGGACUUGUGCCAACUGGGCUGGAGUUUCAGCCUGGAACAAAGACCAGAGCUCUCUGAAAUGCUGCAAAAUGUGAAUUUUUGGCCACAAGCCUCUCUCACUUUUGAAUUAAGAGCUGUAUUUAUUUACUUAUUUAUUUUUGCAAGGGGCUCUAGAAGCCAAUUUUCCUCUCUCUGAAGACAGCUGAGUCUGUGCUGCCUGCAUUGGAUACUCAGGGCCACUCUCUGGACAGAAUUUACUCCCUGCUCUGGCACCAGCCUGGCAGGGCAGAUGUGGUUGGAACAAGAUCCCUGGUGAACCCAGAACAGAGCUGGGCACAGCUGGCAGCUUAGCACAACACUGCUAUGAAAUUCAGGCAGCUGAGGGCCAGGCAGGCUGCCAGCAGCUGCUGCCAUGCAGUUCUGCCUGCACACUGCCUGGGGACACGUGGCCAGGGGAUCUUGGGGUCUGCCAUGCAUUUCUGUCUGCACAUUGCCUAUGGACACAUGGCUGGGAAAUCUCGGACAGUCCUGGCUCUCUCUAAUAGGAUUAGCUAGCAACAGUGCUAGAGAUACUCAGAGCAGCCAUCUGUGGAGAGAUGACCCUGUCUCUGUGUGUUUAUAGCAGCUGUAUAGCUUUAAUGUGCUUCUGCUCAUGGGCUGUUGUUAAUUUUCAUUAAUUUUGUACCAUUCAAUGGAGAAGGGAAAGUCUCUGGUUCAGAGCAAAAGCUACCCUAGGACUGUGAGACUUUCAUUAAUCUGACAGUGGCAAGAAAUCUUCCACAGACAGGAGCCUGUGAGAAGGAUCCUACUGCUCUGUCUGCAGUGAGGGCAUGGCCUGGCACGGGGCUGAGCUGGUGGAAGGGCUCUCUGCUCCCACGGAUAAAGGGAUGAGCUGUCUGCAGGAAACCAGCUGGGCUUGGCUUCUUCUCUUCCUGAUGAAGGUGCCACCUCUGUUGAAAAUUACUUUGCUGUUAGAGUGCUAUGGUUUCAAUUCAUAUGGCUUGAACAUAUUUGUUGUUUAUGAGUUUAUGCAAGGAGCCCAUUGCUGUGGUGACUCCAGAGUGCCCAUGUAAGGGCUGACAACCCCAAAAGUGCAGUGCCCACACUGCCAGGGACAAUUCCCUCUGCCUCACAUACAAUGCAGUGUCAAACCAGGUAAGUGGGGAAAUAUUAGAAAUGUAGCAACUUAGCACAUGUGCAAACGUGCCAACUGGCAGGAAUCCUCAGAGCAAUAAGAUGAAACAUUUUGAGUUACAGAACAAAAUAUCUGUGCUGGGGUACUGAAAUACAAGUCUUUAAUGUGCUGUUACUGAGGUUUAGUGACAAACCAGAAUGAAAGCUAUUUUAAAAAAUCCUUGCUUCACGUAAUGUUGUUGUAGUCCACAUCAUUGCCCAACAUAUCAUGAAAGACAAUAUUAUCCAGCUUUUGAAUUGGUUCAAUACAAAUUACUUUUCUGCUUCAAAUAUGAAGAAGCAUUUUUCAAAAAAAUUGGUUUUGCUUAGAUGUUAUGGAAAAUAAAGUUAGCAGACAUCAGAACUCUAUCUUGGGAAAUUUGCUGCAAAGAAGGUACAAGUAUAACAAAUGUAAUUAUAAGUGAGUGCUGAUAAUUUAUUUACUGGGAUAGUGCCAUUGUUAGAGAUGUCAAAGUCCUUUUUCAUCUGUUUCUUUUUUGUCUGCACAUGUUGGUUUUUUGAAUAGGUUUCCAUGCUUCCAGCAGUAGGAGUCUCCAAGUUUCUAAUGAGGCUGUAAGAAGUACAAGGACUCUUUCAUGGGAGCAGGGAACUGGAGUCACACUGGAUUUUGGAGUGGAGCAGCCCCCAUUUGAGUCUGGCCAGAGGAUCUGUGCCAGACUGGGCUCCUGAGUGAGCAUUAUCCCUUGGCUGGGCUGCAUCACACUGGGGUGGCCAUGGGGGGCUUAGUUCAUUAAGUGACUCUUAGAAAAAACUCUUGUGGAGGAGACGAGAAAGGCAACAGAUCUGAUGUUCAGUCAAGGACAGGUUCCUCUCUGAGGGUGUCACCAUGGAGCUCCUGCCCCUGGAGAACUCUAAUUCCAGCAGGGAGCUGUGCUGCAUCCAAAGCAACAAAGUACGUAUGCACUUAACGAACCCAGCUCAGCUCCUUUUGCAAACCAAAAUAAAUUGUUUCCAUGCCUGCCCGGAUUCUAAAUUAGCAGAACAAACAGUCAUUUAAAAUGAAUGAUUUCAAGUCAGAGGAAUACAAAUCAGAGGCUGUGUUCUUUUCUCAUUGGAAAAAUACUGUUCCACCAGAAAAAAUAUUACAUAGGUUUUUAAUCUUCUACAGAUGGGAUAGAAGAUAAUAAAGUGGUCAACAGAAAAUGUAACACAUCUGGCUCCACAUCUGACAUAUCCAGAUAUUGACAGAUCAUUCUUUUUGGUGCUUUUACACAUAGCAAGGGUUAUCAAAAACCACAUUUUUAUUUGGCCUAUGUGACCCUGCACCCAAAAAGAUUUUACCCCAGAAUGCACCAAUAUAGACACUUUCUGUGGUCUGUUGUGCUCUGCAGGAACCCCAGAAGCUCUGACAAAAGACAACAUUCAGGUUUUGCUGGAGAAGAAUGGUAGUGGAGGAGAAAGAGAGGAAGGAGUGCCUGUGGUGCCCUGUUUUGAAGGGGAAAUAAAAUAGAGGGAUCAGGCACCAUUAUCUGAGGCUUCACACAAAGCUGUUUGGAGUCCUUUCCACAGCUCUGCCUCAACUGCUCCUAACUCCUGAGCUUUGGCUCUGUCUCUCUGCUGUCCUCACCAGCCACGCUUUCCUUCAUCUCAGCCAAGAAAUCAUUUUCAUGGAAGGAGGUCAGUAGGUGAUCUGAGUUCGGAGGUCUUCCGAGGAAGUGUCAAUCCAGGCAGCAGAGCUGUUUGGAACAAGUUAUGAGAGGUUACCCUCGGGCAAGCAAAGAUGUGUGAUGAGCACAUUACUCCGAAGGGAGCUCAUAAUUUGAUACAGACCUCUGGAAGCUACCAAAUUCCAAUUGUGCAUAUUAAAACUCUGAACGCUUCAGGUCUGAUUUAGGCUGCUGCAAAGUCAACAGGAGUCUCUCAGUGCCUCCAGUGGGCUUUUAAUGUGAUCCUUAUUGAAUAAAUAAUCAAGAAGUAAACCUGCAUAGAAUCUGAUUACCUGGUCUGCAGCCUCUGAAUGAACUCUCUGCUGCAUUAUGGAAUUACAACACUGGCUUGUGAGAUUCCAUUGAACUAAGAGCAGAAUUUCCAUUGCCCAGCUGAGUGCCUGUGGUCAGGCUAAUCUCUGACUUCUGCUCUCAAAUCACCAGUCUGUGUUACACAAGAGGUCAGACUCUCUGAUUUACAACUGUCCUCUCUGCCUUUAAUAAUCUGUGAUGAAAUCUUUUAUACAUGAACUCUAAGUGGCUGCAAGUGCCUGCACCAGCUGGCAAACCUGCCCCACGACCACUCCCCCUUUCUGCAAGUCACUGGGGCUCCAAGGCUGCCAAGAUGGUGCUCUGAGAUGAUCCAAAAGAUCUCUUUCAUUUAGCAGCACAGCUGUUUGUUAUUCUGUCCAGGAGCAGUAAAGCUAUCAAUUGCACAGAAGGAAAACAUUUUAGAGCACACUAAAAAGCAAAUAAUCCUCUGCUCAGGAUAUUAAAAUAUCCCAAACCAUAAAUUUCUCAGUGUUAUUAUUUUGUAGCAGACAUCUGGCAUGCCAGGCUACAGAAUGAGGAGGUGAUGUGCUCAUCUCAAGUCUGGGUUGAAAGGGGAUGUCCAGAUAGCCUUGUGCAGUCUGCUUCCAGUCAGGAACUGCUUCUGCACACCCUCUGUACAGACCUCAAUACAUUGCCUCAGUCACUGUUUGAGGGGCAUAUUUUGGUCCCAUGAUGAGGCUGGAUGUAUCAGGGGAAGCCUUGGCCAGCAUGUCUGACACAGACCAUCUUGUGAGGGAGAGGGCAUCUGCUGCCAAUCCUUUACACAUUUACUGACCCACCUACCACUUUUGGAACUUGCAAUAAUUGCUCUAAUUGCUUGCUCCCAUGAGGUCUUUGCCCCCAAAUUCUCAAAAGCAGUUUUUGAGGUGCUGACCAAGUCAAGAUCUAAGGCAGGCUGACUACACAAUGUUCUGCUGUCAUCAGGGGUUCCUGCAGGGCCAGAUCCACCCAGACAUCACAGGUGCUCACAAAAACGUAGAGUUUGGGUUUUUAGUCCUUCAACCAGCAGGAAAAUGCUGGUCACACUGUUGCAUCAAACCUACAGUUGUGGAAAAGAGUAACUUCCCUGAGGUUAAGAUAGAGGAUGAGUGGUGUCAUCUGGCAUUAAGUGUGACAUUUUGGAGACAAAGGAGGACAGAUUCCUGCACUGUACUCUGGAAGGAUGCUGGAUGUGACUUUGGGGCACACAGGAGAGGUGGCAAGUAGUAAAUAUAAGGUCUGGAUGUUAACACCAAGAGUCUUCAUCUUAUUUCCUGUGAUCCUCUGACACUGUUCAAUCAUUUUCUAGCCCUGAAAAUGAUGGUCAAGGUUUGAUAAAUGGUACAACUCAUCAGUAUGUGCAGAAGCCUCUGCAAAAUCCAGAUGGGAAAAUGACCUUGAUUCCUGCAGUUAAAGAGAAAAUGAGGCUUGGGCCAGAUUAAUUCCCAGGGUUGCACAUUGAUUUCAUUGGAGUUGCCCUGGGGGUGAGUUUGAAUCUCAACUCCUUUAAGUUUCCAAAACAAAGCAGAAUCCAUGUGGGUGGCAGUAUGGAAUUGAUGUGGUUUUUUUUCUUUGGGUUUUGGGGUUUAUUUUUGGUCAGUUGUUUUAGUACAAGCUACACAUGAUGUACAAUUAUUUCUGCAAAUCUGUAGGAGCAGGCAACUAUUUUAUAAAGAAAAGAUAAAGCCUUCACCUGGAGCCAGCUCAUGUUGACUUUAGAAAGAUUUCCUUUUACUGGUGAACAUCUCUGUCUGUUUAAAGUACCCCCAGCUUUGACUCUCAGGACUGCAGCCAUUCUGUCUCUCUGAAGCCACCACCUGCUGAAGUGUUUGCAGUAGCUUGUCCAGAAGAACAUAUUUCUGGACAGAAAACUGGUUUUACUGAAUUAAUAUAAAGUGGGAACAAACUGCAGCAGUUAAACUCAAGUUAAAUUUCUACAUGGAUGUGGACUCCACAGUUUGAGUAUGUCUAGAACUAGAUUAUUGUUCCUUGGCCAUUAAAUAUUGUCAAUACUGAGUGUUUUUCUUAUUUUAAUUGCUACCAAUUUAUACAAGGCCUAUUCAAUCCUACAGAUGGAAUAAAAUUCUGAAAUAGUCUAGUGUUUGCAUUUGGAGAUUUAAGAGUACAGAGGUGAGUACAGAAUUUGGAAGUUGGGUUUGGUUUUACAGGAACAAAUAUGAAAGUGGAAUCCAAAGAUGGUAAUUUGAACUGGACCCUUUUCCAUGACAAAUUCAGGUCUCUGUGUACCCAUAGGGAGCUUUUCCUGGGAACUUCUGGUUCCACACCCUGAAUGCACACUUUGAAUUCUGAUUUAGGUCCUACCUGGCAGCCUACUGACUUUGCUGGGAGAAUCGUAUGAACUUGGCAGUGAAGGACAAGUCUCACAGUGCCCUAACUGGGACCUUGUGAAAAUUCAUUACAUUCUCAUGUGAAAACUCCUCAUCUGAAGCCCAAAGGAACUGGGCUGGGAGUCACCAGAGUAUCCCAUCUGUUUGUGAGAUAACAUUUUCUGCUCCCACCAGAAGUCAGUUUUCCCUAUUAGUUCUGCUUUCUGGGCUGUCUGAUAGCAGGAAGAACAAAACCCAGUGAAAAUUAAAAAGUGAAGAUAAUGCAAAGUUAAACACACCUCUUUUUGAUCUUCAAAUUGAGUUGAUGUCAAGUAAAGCUUGUUCCCUAUGCACUGUCUUACUUCUUUGUUUAAUGGCGAAUUGAGUGAAACUAUUUGAUUUGCCAGGUUGUGCGGUAAGUUGGAAAAUAAAAUUAAUAAGUGGCAGUGUCAGAGUCACAGUGUGUAAGUGACCCCAUGAGGAGGCACAGUCGAAUCAGAAGCUCUCCACCUUUGCAGUGUCCUGUUACCAUGUGAUCAGAUCACUUCAUAAGCACUGUGAUCCCCAAAACCCCUGCUCAGGGCUGCUCCUGGCCCCACAGCCAGGCUGGGCACAGCACAGCAGGGCACACAAUGUCAUUUAGCUGCACUGACCAUCUGUGUGUGGCAGAUUUUGGGGUUCUUGCUUUGGGGUCUGCUCAGAUCAGGGUCCUGGGAAGCAGGACAAUGAGCUCUGUUUCCCUGUCUUUCCUGGCAUGUGGGAGGAGGCACGAGGUGCCCUGGGGAGGUCUCUGUGAGGAGCCCUCUGGCUUGGGGCACCAGCUGAAAGCCUGAGCAGGAGGCUUUGUCUGGGUUCUGCUCUGCCCUCUGUGGGCCAGGGUGCCCUCACUGGGGAGGAGCCCCCAGGGAAACUCAGAGCUCUAGAAAGGAAAGAAGGAGCCAUCACUGUGUGUGGGAGACAAGCCAGGAGCUGGAUACAGAGACUUAAAUGUCACCAAAGUCCUUGCCUAGGGACUGGCACUAAUGUGGACCCACUGGUUGCUUUUCUCCCUGCGAUUUUUUUAGAGCUUAAGGAAUUAAAAUUCACCAAAGCCAUAAUUUCUGAAAAUUAUUAAGUCUGACAUAAUUUUUCCUUCACAAUGUCAUUUAGUUGGACUGAGCAACAUGUUCCUCCUCCCCAGUGCUGCGCCUUUACUCUUGUAUCAAGCUAUGAGAAGGAAGGGUUAUAACCAGCUCCCUCAGAUGCAGAUUGCACACAAGGGUAGCACAGCAGAACCAUCCUGCUUUCUUCUACCAGCUCUGCUCAGUAUUUAAACAGUUAUUUAGUUCCCACAAGAGAAUUGUACUAGAAGAGAGAAAGGCGCAGCAUGCAGCUAUUAUUGGGGCAGUGAUUGUAAUGAGCAUGGAAAAUGAACAAUAUAUAACCUAUUCUUAAUAGACUCUUGGGAGGGUUAUCCUCUGCUAUUCCUCUGAUCCCAUAUACAGAAUUAUUUUUUUUUAAUAAUUGAUAAUGCCUUGUUUUUUUCCAUUUGUAUUGCUCAGUAAACAUUAAUAGCAUUUUCCACAGAUUAAUUAUCCUUGUGCCUGCACCAGAGUAUUUUAAAUAAAACAAACCCUCUUCUUUCUUUUCAAGCAAUUGUUUGAUGAGAGAAGCUGUCCUUUCCAGAAAGGACACUUGACCAUGGAAGGUCAAAUUUUUCUGCACUGAAACUGCAGUUGUGCCAGCUGGGAAUGCUCUGGAGUCUGUGUGAAUUCCCUGUGGCAUCACCAGAAUUCCUGGGGAUGGAGUUGUGCUGGCCUAGACCUUCUCUACCAUAGAGAAGGUGCCUGAAUUCCAACAGGGAGGCAGGCUGGGAAGAUGUCCAACUUUCUAUGCAUGCAGCACUUCAUUAUGCAACUAUCAUGAAUAGAAAUCCUCUGUCCUGGAAUGGGAUUUAUUAAGCUUUAACUUUGUGGUCACAAAUGUAUCAGCAGUUUUGAGAUCUUCAUGCUCUUAAACAUGAUACUAAAAAUGUAUCAGCCUGGCUAUGGAAUUUUUGGGGGGAUUUUUUUUCCCCUAAUAAAGGUGUGUGAGAAGAACAUGGGGAGAUGGAAGGAUGCCCAUGACUGCAGCUCAGCAGCUGAGGCAGAGCAGUCAAGCUUAACUCUGUGCAGGUGAGGAGGAUGUGAGCUUCAGUGCCUUCUGCUCCAUGGAAACAGCCUUCCAUCCACUUGAAGGCUGAAGCUUUGGUGGUGGGAGAGGGAAAACAGGAAUGCCAUGGAAACAUCUCUGCUUCACUAAGGAAGUGCAGUGCUGUUUCUUUUGGUUUUACUCCUAAGUGUGUGCAGUGGGUCAUGCCACAGCAGCAACUAAACAUUUUGUUUCAGUUUUGGGAGAGAAAUCUCUCCCUGAAAACACUCACUUGUGUAUUUUCUUGGUUUUUAUUUUAUUGAUGCAGUGACAUACAAACUGAUCAGGCCUACACUAUGCCCCAAUUAAUAGAAUUUUAGUGCUGGACAUGUUUUGGGGCCAACAUCUCCCCCAUGCUAAAAGUAACUUAUUAUAUUGCACACCCAUUAGUAAAGGUUGGGUUUGUGUGCUUUAACUCAUGAGCAUUCUAUGCCUUCCUUGUUUUAGGAAGUGUCAUCCUCAAGAUGUUUUUUUCAUGGCUGUCAUGCAUCCAGGCUGCAGCCUGGCUGGCGUGGGCCCAGGGAGGGUGGCACACUUUGCUUCCCGCUAGCCCUGCUCAGCCCUGGGUGCUUACACCAUCUCCUCCUCAGCGCUGCUCAGGUGUGGCAAUGGGGCAGGAGCUCUCCUGGUGCACAACCAGAGCAGUUUAAGAUAUGAAGGUGCAAAGUGAAGCCCGUGACAGCUUGGGGGAUUGCGUGGGCCUUUAUCAGCCAGAACCUCUCUGAGCACAAACACAAAAAUGUUGUUGACAGACAACUUUCAUAAAUUGCUUUGUUGAGUGGCAGCUUCACUUCACAGCACAUUGUCACAUGCCAGUGCUGACACUUGUGGCAGAACUUGCUGGCACAGUAUGGCAUGCUUGUCUGUAGCUUUUUCUGCAUUUUCUUCCCAGGAAAAUCCUUAUAAUCCAAACUGGAGCCAUUUCACCAGGUUUUGUCCUUGAUGCAUGGGUGAGGGGGGAUGUUUUGCACAGUAUGUGCAGCCAGAACCAUGCCAACAUUACAAUUAAAAAUGGGGUGAAACAAAAUGAAUGGUUUAAAUGUACUCAUAUUUCUGUGAUGUAUUUUCUGCUUCUGCACUUCUAAUGCUUAAAAUCUUUUAUAGGAGCAUCUGUUACUCAGAGAGCAAAGGUUUGCAGCAGCCUUACCAGAGUUAACAGUAGCUAUGGGCCAGGUUAGACAAAAACAUCCUUCUUUUUUAUCACUUUUCUGUGCAAGGUGUUUGCCCAAAGCCAUGCCAUCAUGGCAAGGAAAUUUGUUCUGCUAGCAUCACAUGCAGGAUGAGGGUGGUGGUCACUCUAAUGUUAAACUGAGUCACAAAACUUCCUAAAUCAUUGCUGUAUGUGUGGCUAAAGAAAGAAAAAAAAAAAAGAAACAUCACUCAUCAAGACUUUAACACCAAGCAAGAAGAGGGAGAAGCAAUGAAGAGACUGUAGGAACUUCAAAGUAAGCAAAAAAAUUCUCUGUGGAUUCCCUUUUUCCCUGAAAAUUGGGAAGCAGCAGACGGAUAAUCAACAAAACCCACAUCACCUCCUUGAGAUAAGGCCUGGGGACAGAGCUUGCAACGCACUUGAGUAAAAAAAUAUGCAUGAAGCUGUACAUGGUAUCUAAGCCAUGGAUCCCCUGGAUUUUCCCAGGCUCCUGGAGGGUGUUGGGUUACCUGGAGCCAAGCAGCUCCCAGUCAGCAGCUGGUGCAGGUGGACACUGCAGCUGGGCUGGGCAGCCUCACUGGCUUUUGGGCAAUUGUGAUGUCAGGAGUCCCUGCAUUACACCAUGAGCUGACUUUUGCAGCUUCCUAGAGGUCAGGAAAGAAACCAGUAUUUCCUCAGGGUUUUUAUUGUGGUUUAUGCCGUAGUAUGUGGCUCAUGGUUCAGAAGGGAGCAAGGAGAGCCAGCACUUAAUUUCAACACAUGGCAGAAAACUUGCUCUGAGGUGGUGCAGACACUGGGUGAGAGCAGGAGCAAUUGGCUCUCCCUGUGGGCAGACUCAGUGAGUGUCACAUGAAAGUGAUUAGCUCAAACACCAUGGAACAAAGGAGCAGAUUAUUUUGACGUUUAGGCCUGAAUAUGGCACUUCCAGGGAUUCUUGUAAUGAUUUGGCCAAAGACUAUUAAUAAGGCAAAAGCCCAAUGGGGGAAAUGGGAGUCUCACAAUGGAAAAAUUAGCACAUGGUAGGACUGGGUCUGCUGUUGCCCACAGCUUUUUGGGGCUAAGGCAAAGGGUAUCCUGCACAUAAGGCCACAGUAAUUUUUAGUCUCAUGCUGGAGCUGCUCUAGAUGACAUCAAUGCCCUUGGCUAGCUGCCAUGGCUGGGUGCAGAAGAGGCUGGUGGUAUCAAGGUAUGUUGGGGUUCUGUGCUGGGCUUUCCCUCCACUGGGGCAGCUGGAAAACCUGUGGCUCAGUGCCUAAACCAUGGUCUGGUGUUCGGUGACUUGCACAGUUCAGGAACCUGCUAGCUAAACAUAUUGGCCUUGAGACUCCAUUUCUUUGAGUGUACAAGUCUCCAGUGAUCCUUUAAUUUGGGGUGCUCUCUAGUUUGUGAGGGAGAUGAAGUGUAGGCAGUGAAUUACGUCAGAUGGGGCUGGGUGUGUGCUCCCAAGCUGAACACGUGUUAGUGACCUUGCUCCAGUGCUGUGGGGCUGGAGGGCAGCAGUAAGUCACUCUGAUGUGACGUGUAGCACAGGGGGUUGCCUGCUGUAGGUGCAGCAUUGGGCAGCAGAGCUGUGGCAAGAGGCUCUUUAUUUCAAGCUUUUCCAAAACCACUAUAAGACAUGCUUGAAAUGCAUUCCUUCAUGCUGAUCCUGGGAAUCUUCCAUAACCUUGGGGUUUUGCUGUCUCUUUGCUUCCUGUAAAGAGCUGCUCAUCGAGCCCUGACGUCCCCCAACAUCGCCUCAUGUGUGGGGAGGGAGGCACCAGGGCAGAAGUGGCUUUGCAGGAGCACUGUGGCCAGCCCUGGCACUGCCCUCUCCCUGGCACUGCUAGCAGCAGCUCUGCCUGUGGGCUGCCAGCCAGCUGAGGCACUGGCUGGAUGGCACAGGUGGUAUUUGGAAUUUCACAGGUGCCCAUUAUGAGCGGUGCAAACGCCCACCCAGCCUGUAACUGCAAGGCUUUAGGCUGGUUCUCUGUGUACAAAGAACUGUUCUGUUCCCUUCCAGGCCCUUGGGUGAUUGAUAUUUCCUUUUGUUUUCACCUCUGGCAAGACCUGUGCCCAUGGCUGAGCAGCAAAGUGUCCCAGGCCCCUCACCCAAGGCAGUGCCUUUUUUUUGUCACAGCAGCUCCAGCACUGCUGCUGCUGCUGUUGGUCCCUGCAGGCCUGGCUGCCCAAGGUGGCCAGAGAUGAGUUAAUGUGUGUGAUCUGCAGUGGGGCACCACCCCACACUGCCCUGCUUCAGUCCCACCCAGCAGCGAGGGUUCACUGCUGACCCCCACCCCAAAAGGAGAGGAAGCCCAGACAGGGAGAGCCUUGCCAGUCCCCACUGAAGCCCUGGUUGCUGCAGGUGGGCUCAGCACUCAUCCCUCACCCCACUGCCCUCCUCCUGGCCUUUUCCCACUUGGGAAUCUGUUACAUCUGAAGUGCUGCUCCAGCAUCUGCAGCCCUGGCACUGGCCAGACCCGUGCCCACACCCAUGUCCAGGCUGCUGCAGCAUCUCAGGGGCCUCAGACCAUCAGAGUGGUAAGGCUGGGGAUUGGAGGGGUUUGCAGCCUCUGCUUUGAUCAUGUGUGGUAUGUGUGGAGCCAGAACAUUUAGGGAGACCCUGGCUGCUAGAAGGAAAUGUCCUCACCCUGGAACAACUGGACAGGCAAAACCACCUAUGUUCCUCUACUCCUGCUUUCUCCUAGGCACAACCCCAUCCCCACAUCCCUCUUUCCAUUGCUGAAAUCCUGCUACCCUCUCAUACAGCACAUGCCUUACCAUUUCCAUCUGACAGCAAGGAUUUCAGAAGCGUUUCUUGAUCUGUUUCAUAUUUUAAAGCAAGCAGCUAUCCCUCCUGCCCUUUAUCUCCUAACUCUACCCUAAUAAAUAUGAUUGCUUCAUCCUGUGAGACCUGAAAACCCAUUUCUGAAAUUCCCCUGGCAACUAAUACAGUAAAACAAGGAUAUAAAUAAUUAUGAUAAAAAGGCAUAAAAUGCCAGACUUGGGUCAAAUAUACUCAGGGAGUGACAUUAGCAACAAAUAACCAUGCAGGGUUUGAAUGUAGAUGGAAAAGGCUGAAUAAAGAGUAGCUACUUCGUUGCCCAUAACUGCCAGGCUCCUAAUUUGGGCAGGCCAUAUUUUACUGAUAGCAGAGCAAACACAGUCAUAAUGUACCCCUACCUUUCCUGCUUUGU